UCGUAUAACUGAGGUGUUAGGUGGCUGUCGCUGACUUUUGAAAAAGGUCGUGCACGCCCCUGCACUCUCAUACAAUCCAUCUCACCCCUUUUGUGCAUCACCGCGUGAGGCCCCCCCUCUUUUUGAAAAAGGAAAAGGGAGGGUUCAUGUUUUUCUUUUACACAAACACCUUUUUAAUGCAUGUCUAGAAUGUCUUUACUAUUUGCACUCAUAUGCAAUCAAUA
rnacentral:misc_RNA from 1 species